rnacentral:rRNA from 1 species
GGAGUCUAGCAUGUGCGCGAGUCAUUGGGACAUUACUAAACCUAAAGGCGCAAUGAAAGUGAAACGGCCCGCUUCGGCGGGUCGAGGGAAGAUGGGCGAACCGCGCGAGCGGCCGCCCCGCAUUCCCGGGGCGUCUCGUUCUCAUCGCGAGAAGAGGCGCACCAAGAGCGUACACGCUGGGACCCGAAAGAUGGUGAACUAUGCCUGGUCAGGACGAAGUCAGGGGAAACCCUGAUGGAGGUCCGUAGCGAUUCUGACGUGCAAAUCGAUCGUCGGAACUGGGUAUAGGGGCGAAAGACUAAUCGAACCAUCUAGUAGCUGGUUCCCUCCGAAGUUUCCCUCAGGAUAGCUGGCGCUCGUCGCCAACGAGUCUCAUCCGGUAAAGCGAAUGAUUAGAGGCAUUGGGGCCGAAACGGCCUCAACCUAUUCUCAAACUUUAAAUGGGUGAGAUCUCCGGCUUGCUCGAACCGAUGAAGCCGCGAGACACGGAUCAGAGUGCCAAGUGGGCCAUUUUUGGUAAGCAGAACUGGCGCUGUGGGAUGAACCAAACGCCGAGUUAAAGCGCCUAAAUCGACGCUUAUGGGAUACCAUGAAAGGCGUUGGUAACUUAAGACAGCAGGACGGUGGCCAUGGAAGUC